UCCCUCUUCGAAGAAAUUCUCCAGAUAUUCCUCCAUUCCCAAGAUCACUCCGUGGCCUUAUCCACGUAACGAUCUCUCGAAAUUCGUUUCGAUCGGAUCGACAAACGCAAAGGACGAACGGACGACACUCAAAACGCGAUCAUCACCCCCCUCCCGAAAUUUCUCCCGUCCAAAAUCGAUCCGUCCAAAAUCGAUCCGUCCAAAAUCGUCGAUUUUUCGGCUCGGUUUCGAUCGCGUGCCUUGAUGAGAUCGAUCGGCCGUUCGAUCGAUCGAGAACGGCGGAGGACGAAGGUGCGGAGGAGAGGGGAUGUGCGUGGUCUGGUCUCGAGUGUCUGGUCGCCAUCCGUGGACACGCGGUGAGUAUCUCGAAUCGAUUCUCGAACGAACAAUAACAAGACGACGAAGACCGAACCGAAGACUACAACGACGACGACGACGACGACGACGACGACGCUGAACCUUUCCUCCUUUCGUAUCGUUCUUUCCUUUCGCUUCUCCGAUAACGCGUCAGAUCUUGCUCGUUCUUCUCUUCUUCUUUCGUGGUGUCGUAGGGGCUGAGAGGCGGAUGCGGCCCUGGCGGCGCAUGAUGCACCGCCC